rnacentral:rRNA from 1 species
GACGAACGCUGGCGGCGCGCCUAACACAUGCAAGUCGAACGAGCGAGAGAGAGCUUGCUUUCUCGAGCGAGUGGCGAACGGGUGAGUAACGCGUGAGGAACCUGCCUCAAAGAGGGGGACAACAGUUGGAAACGACUGCUAAUACCGCAUAAGCCCACGACCCGGCAUCGGGUUGAGGGAAAAGGAGCAAUCCGCUUUGAGAUGGCCUCGCGUCCGAUUAGGUAGACGGUGAGGCAACGGCUCACCAUGCCGACGAUCGGUAGCCGGACUGAGAGGUCGAUCGGCCACAUUGGGACUGAGACACGGCCCAG